ACAUUUGUGGCAUAGUGGUUUGAGUGUGGGACUGCGACUCUGGAGACCAGGGUUUGAUUCCCUGCUUGGUCA